rnacentral:misc_RNA from 2 species
AACGCACAUGGCGCCUUCCAGUAUCCUGGGAGGCAUGCCUGUCCGAGCGUCGUUUCAACCCUCGAGCCCCCGUGGCCCGGCGUUGGGGAUCUGCCACGGCAGGCCCCUAAAACCAGUGGCGGACCCGAAGGGCCCUCUCCUUUGCGCAGUAGCAUCAGCCUCGCAUCGGGAGUCCUCGGCGUCCUGCCUCUAAACCCCCUACAAGCCCGCCCCGGCGGCACCAAGGUUGACCUCGGAUCAGGUAGGAAUACCCGCUGAACUUAA